CACUAAACCUGAUCGCAGUGGCAUCUCCCGAUUUUUUAUCGGGAAUAAAACGGAGAGGACUAACA
rnacentral:misc_RNA from 1 species